rnacentral:tRNA from 3 species
GCGGGCGUGGCGGAAUUGGUAGACGCAGCAGACUUAAAAUCUGCCGGCCGCAAGGCCGUGCCGGUUCAAUCCCGGCCGCCCGCACCA